CCAUUUUAAGGACGGUAUUUGUGACAAUAUGUGCAGUUAAAUCAAUUUGUUUAGCAUAUUGCACAUCUCCCGGCCUAAAAAUGA
ncrna:Drosophila virilis microRNA dvi-mir-311 precursor